rnacentral:piRNA from 1 species
UAAUAACUUUCUUUGUUGAAAUGCUAGUA